rnacentral:rRNA from 1 species
UACUACCUUAUACAGGGAAGUAGCCCAGAGAAAUUUGGAUUAAUGCCCACUAGCAUUACGACUUGGCAUCAAGAUGUAAUUAAAGUUCCAACGGUAUAAGAUGAGCAUGCGUCCCAUUAGUUAGUUGGUAAGGUAACGGCUUACCAAGACGAUGAUGGGUAGGGGUCCUGAGAGGGAGAUCCCCCACACUGGUACUGAGACACGGACCAGACUCCUACGGGAGGCAGCAGUGAGGAAUAUUGGACAAUGGGCGCAAGCCUGAUCCAGCCAUGCCGCGUGCAGGAAGAAGCAUCUAUGGUGUGUAAACUGCUUUUGUACAGGAAGAAACAUCCCGACGUGUCGGGACUUGACGGUACUGUAAGAAUAAGGAUCGGCUAACUCCGUG